rnacentral:rRNA from 1 species
AGGGAAUCUUCCACAAUGGACGCAAGUCUGAUGGAGCAACGCCGCGUGAGUGAAGAAGGUUUUCGGACCGUAAAGCUCUGUUGUUGGUGAAGAAGGAUAGAGGUAGUAACUGGCCUUUAUUUGACGGUAAUCAACCAGAAAGUCACGGCUAACUACGUGCCAGCAGCCGCGGUUAAUCGUAGGUGGCAAGCGUUGUCCGGAUUUAUUGGGCGUAAAGCGAGCGCAGGCGGAAGAAUAAGUCUGAUGUGAAAGCCCUCGGCUUAACCGAGGAAUUGCAUCGGAAACUGUUUUUCUUGAGUGCAGAAGAGGAGAGUAGAACUCCAUGUGUAGCGGUGGAAUGCGUAGAUAUAUGGAAGAAUACCAGUGGCGAAGGCGGCUCUCUGGUCUGCAACUGACGCUGAGGCUCGAAAGCAUGGGUAGCGAACAGGAUUAGAUACCCUGGUAGUCCAUGCCGUAAACGAUGAGUGCUAAGUGUUGGGAGGCUUCCGCCUCUCAGUGCUGCAGCUAACGCAUUAAGCACUCCGCCUGGGGGAGUACGACCGCAAGGUUGAAACUCUAA